rnacentral:misc_RNA from 1 species
GAUGAAAGAACGUAGCGAAAUGCGAUAGGUAAUGUGAAUUGCAGAAUUCAGUGAAUCAUCGAAUCUUUGAACGCACAUUGCGCCCGCCAGUAUUCUGGCGGGCAUGCCUGUUCGAGCGUCAUUACAACCCUCAGGCCCCCGGGCCUGGCGUUGGGGAUCGGCGGAGCCCCCCGUGGGCACACGCCGUCCCCCAAAUACAGUGGCGGUCCCGCCGCAGCUUCCAUCGCGUAGUAGCUAACACCUCGCGACUGGAGAGCGGCGCGGCCACGCCGUAAAACACCCAACUCUUCUGAAGUUGACCUCGAAUCAGGUAGGAAUACCCGCUGAACUUAAGCAUAUCAAUAAGCGGAGGA